UUAUAUCAAACAGAAAUUUUACAAAAAAGAAGGAAACUAAUGUAAACACAUAUGGACAUAUUUUAUAUACAUAUAUAUAUGUAUAAUUUUAUACAAAACAUUUUCCCGUGAUUUGACGGCACAAAAAGCAACUCUACAUUCCAUUUAAGAAUAAAAUAUUUCUUUUCUAACAAUAAAAAUAAUUAACGUUAUAUCAAUCCUAAUAUUAUUUAAUGAUAGUUCGAAGAGUGAUAGCAUUAAAUCUAGAAAUCUUUUUUUGUGGUGGGGUGCCUUUACGUAAGUCAAAAUAACUACGCAGUUUUGUUAUCUACAUGCUUUAAUAAACGUGUAUUAGUAUUUGCGCAUAAAUACUUAAAUGGUGGUAAUAGUCGGCUUUGAUUGAUAAUUAAAGUUUUUGAUAGUGCUGGAAUUUUUUAAUUACAUUAUUGUUAUCAUAAAUCGCACAUGUAUAAUUCUCCACUCUUCUUCUGCAGAUUACCAUCCCAAUAAACACACAAUAAUUUUAAAUGGUUUUUAAAAUAUUUAUUUUUAAUUAUUUUUACAUUAUUAGCGUAUUUAUUGUACAAAAAAGUGUUAUUUAUUUUGUUAUCGCUUUUCGGCGAUGUAGAUUGGUUGUUGGUUGUCAAGUUUGUGCUGUUCGACUUGCUUCACGUUGUUUUCUGUUGUCAGUUCUCCGUAUUUGACAGUUUUUAGAAAUUUUUGACAGUUUCCUAUAUUUGAAGAAGAAAAAGAAAAAUUUGAGAAACUAAAUUUGAUUGAGAAAGAGAAAGAGAGCCAUUUCACGUAUUUAAUAAGAAAGAAAGAGAUUUGAUCAAAAAGAGGUAGGUAGAUUACGUUGCGAGAGAUUACGUUUGGUAAGUAAUUAGAAGAAGACACAGCGAGUGAGAAAAAGAACUUUAGAGAGAAAAAAUAAGGAGAAAUAACAGGUAGUUUUUAAAUAAAUAAAUAUAUUUUUUUAAUAUAUUCUAUUUGAAAAAGGAGAUGUUAAAUCAAAUCAAAUUUAUUGUUACUGUUUUUGCGAUAUUGAUUGGUUCUCUAACCUGCCUUACUUGCCUUUAAAAAAAAAUAAAAUAAGGAAUAACAUUAAAUAUAAGAAAAACAGCGACUUUUGAA